UAACAAAAUGUGGCCUCAAAGAUGGCCUUCUUCUUAUAUGUUGGGUUCCAUAGCAUCUGCUAUGCUUACUAAGCUGGAAAUUAUCUUGAUGAUUGGAAAAAUGGCCACUGUUGUACCAAUCCCCAAGAAGCUUUUCAUUUCAGUGCUCUGCUACACCAGAUUGAGAGCUCUGCUAUACCUGAUAGAGUCCUCUUCCUUCCUUCCACCUGAAUGUGGAUGCUAGCCUGACAUCAG